GACGAACGCUGGCGGCGUGCCUAAUACAUGCAAGUAGAACGCACAGUUUAUACCGUAGCUUGCUACACCAUAAACUGUGAGUUGCGAACGGGUGAGUAACGCGUAGGUAACCUGCCUGGUAGCGGGGGAUAACUAUUGGAAACGAUAGCUAAUACCGCAUAAUAUUAAUUAUUGCAUGAUAAUUGAUUGAAAGAUGCAAUUGCAUCACUACCAGAUGGACCUGCGUGGUAUUAGCUAGUAGGUGAGGUAACGGCUCACCUAGGCGACGAUACAUAGCAGACCUGAGAGGGUGAUCGGCCACACUGGGACUGAGACACGGCCCAGACUCCUACGGGAGGCAGCAGUAGGGAAUCUUCGGCAAUGGACGAAAGUCUGACCGAGCAACGCCGCGUGAGUGAAGAAGGUUUUCGGAUCGUAAAGCUCUGUUGUAAGAGAAGAACGGGUGUGAGAGUGGAAAGUUCACACUGUGACGGUAUCUUACCAGAAAGGGACGGCUAACUACGUG
rnacentral:rRNA from 1 species